rnacentral:rRNA from 1 species
UACGAAGGGGGCUAGCGUUGCUCGGAAUCACUGGGCGUAAAGGGUGCGUAGGCGGGUCUUUUAAGUCAGGGGUGAAAUCCUGGAGCUCAACUCCAGAACUGCCUUUGAUACUGAAGAUCUUGAGUUCGGGAGAGGUGAGUGGAACUGCGAGUGUAGAGGUGAAAUUCGUAGAUAUUCGCAAGAACACCAGUGGCGAAGGCGGCUCACCGGCCCGAUACUGACGCUGAGGCACGAAAGCGUGGGGAGCAAACAGGG